rnacentral:lncRNA from 1 species
CCUCAGAUGGAUCACACUCCGGUCCACUGACCCAGAGAAAACACGCUAAGCCCAGAAGUCAUCAAACCCAUCCUAUCAACAGCUCACAACAACAGGAAAAGCGAAACACUAGGGUCCAACACAACCAGCAUACACAUUCAAACGCCUCUAAGUGAACGUAUCUAACGUCACCACGUUCGAUGUGUUAGCCUCCUAUAGAAUCAGGGUGAUGAUCCAAGCCAAAGCUAAUGGAACCUUUCUCGGGAAUCUGCUGAAGAAAAGGCUCACCCUUUUCCUUGCCUCACUACCACCCAAUCCCAGACUAAUUCUAAUCUCUUUCUAAGAUCACUGUUACUUUUUCUUUUCCUCUUUUUCUUUUUCUGAUCUAUCUCUCUCAAUCCCACUAGGAUCCACAAAAGAA